GAGUUUUUAUAGGUUACGCCUAUGAACCUUCAAUACAAUUGAAUAUAAAGAUUUGAUAAUGGUUAUCCCCAAUAAAAAAGAAAGUUUUUAUCAAAGAUGAGUUAACGAAUCAAUUAGAGAUUUUUCUGGAUAAUCUUAAUAUAACCAAAUAAAACUUUUUCCUGCCUAAAUUCUAAAACCAAACAAAGAUUUUAAGACUGGUUAAUUUAAGAAUCAAAUUCGAUUUCCUAAGAGUAUAGCACUCUUAAGUAUACUAACA
rnacentral:lncRNA from 1 species